GACGAACGCUGGCGGCGUGCUUAACACAUGCAAGUCGAACGGAAAGGCCCUGCUUUUGUGGGGUGCUCGAGUGGCGAACGGGUGAGUAACACGUGAGUAACCUGCCCUUGACUUUGGGAUAACUUCAGGAAACUGGGGCUAAUACCGGAUAGGAGCUCCUGCUGCAUGGUGGGGGUUGGAAAGUUUCGGCGGUUGGGGAUGGACUCGCGGCUUAUCAGCUUGUUGGUGGGGUAGUGGCUUACCAAGGCUUUGACGGGUAGCCGGCCUGAGAGGGUGACCGGCCACAUUGGGACUGAGAUACGGCCCAGACUCCUACGGGAGGCAGCAGUGGGGAAUAUUGCACAAUGGGCGGAAGCCUGAUGCAGCAACGCCGCGUGCGGGAUGACGGCCUUCGGGUUGUAAACCGCUUUCGCCUGUGACGAAGCGUGAGUGACGGUAAUGGGUAAAGAAGCACCGGCUAACUACGUGCCAGCAGCCGCGGUGAUACGUAGGGUGCGAGCGUUGUCCGGAUUUAUUGGGCGUAAAGGGCUCGUAGGUGGUUGAUCGCGUCGGAAGUGUAAUCUUGGGGCUUAACCCUGAGCGUGCUUUCGAUACGGGUUGACUUGAGGAAGGUAGGGGAGAAUGGAAUUCCUGGUGGAGCGGUGGAAUGCGCAGAUAUCAGGAGGAACACCAGUGGCGAAGGCGGUUCUCUGAGCCUUUCCUGACGCUGAGGAGCGAAAGCGUGGGGAGCGAACAGGCUUAGAUACCCUGGUAGUCCACGCUGUAAACGGUGGGUACUAGGUGUGGGGUCCAUUCCACGGGUUCCGUGCCGUAGCUAACGCUUUAAGUACCCCGCCUGGGGAGUACGGCCGCAAGGCUAAAACUCAAAGGAAUUGACGGGGCCCCGCACAAGCGGCGGAGCAUGCGGAUUAAUUCGAUGCAACGCGUAGAACCUUACCUGGGUUUGACAUGGAUCGGGAGUGCUCAGAGAUGGGUGUGCCUCUUUUGGGGUCGGUUCACAGGUGGUGCAUGGCUGUCGUCAGCUCGUGUCGUGAGAUGUUGGGUUAAGUCCCGCAACGAGCGCAACCCUUGUUCACUGUUGCCAGCACGUUAUGGUGGGGACUCAGUGGAGACCGCCGGGGUCAACUCGGAGGAAGGUGGGGAUGACGCCAAGUCAUCAUGCCCCUUAUGUCCAGGGCUUCACGCAUGCUACAAUGGCUGGUACAGAGAGUGGCGAGCCUGUGAGGGUGAGCGAAUCUCGGAAAGCCGGUCUCAGUUCGGAUUGGGGUCUGCAACUCGACCUCAUGAAGUCGGAGUCGCUAGUAAUCGCAGAUCAGCAACGCUGCGGUGAAUACGUUCCCGGG
rnacentral:rRNA from 1 species